rnacentral:rRNA from 1 species
CCUACGGGUGGCAGCAGUGGGGAAUAUUGCUCAAUGGGGGGAACCCUGAUGCAGCGACGCCGCGUGAGUGAAGAAGUAUUUCGGUAUGUAACGCUCUCUCAGCAGGGGAAAAAAUGACGGUACCUGAUUAAGAAUCCCCGUCUAAAUACAUGCCAGCACCCGCGGUACUACGUAGGGGGCACGAGUUAUCCGGAUUUACUGGGGGUAAAGGGAGCGUAGACGGCAGCACAAGUCUGGAGUGAAAUGCCGGGGCUUAACCCCGGAACUGCUGUGGAAACUGUGCAGCUAGAGUGCAGGAGAGGUACGUGGAAUUCGUAGUGUAGCGGUGAAAUGCGUAGAUAUUAGGAGGAACACCAGUGGCGAAGGCGGCGUACUGGACUGCAACUGACGCUGAGGCUCGAAAGCAUGGGUAGCGAACAGGAUUAGAUACCCGAGUAGUC